rnacentral:rRNA from 1 species
GUGCACCAGUCGCGAAUUUUCUCAAUGGGGAAACCCUGAAGGAGCGACGCCGCGUGGAGGAUGAAGGCUUUCGGGUUGUAAACUCCUGUCAUUUGGGAACAAGUUGCACACGUUAACUGCGUGGGCAUUGAUAGUACCAGAAGAGGAAGGGACGGCUAACUCUGUGCCAGCAGCCGCGGUAAUACAGAGGUCCCAAGCGUUGUUCGGAUUCAUUGGGCGUAAAGGGUGCGUAGGUGGCGCUGUAAGUCGGGUGUGAAAUUUCGAGGCUUAACCUCGAAACUGCAUUCGAUACUGCGGUGCUUGAGGACUGGAGAGGAGACUGGAAUUCAUGGUGUAGCAGUGAAAUGCGUAGAGAUCAUGAGGAAGACCAGUGGCGAAGGCGGGUCUCUGGACAGUUCCUGACACUGAGGCACGAAGGCCAGGGGAGCAAACGGGAUUAGAUACCCGUGUAGU